ensembl:lncRNA
GAAAGAGACGGUCACUGUUUGUCAGUGAGUGCAAAUAUGCAGUGUUUUAUGUGUCUACUGUUUUUCCUGUCAGUAAACUUGUUGCUAACUAUUGAGCUUGUGCAAUAAUAAAAAUAUAUACUCCAACCAACCAUUAAAGAGAACCGAUGUUUUUCUUUCAGAAACAAUGCUGAGACACAGGAAUACUAACAGUUUUCAAUGCGUCGUUCGAAGUGUCAUGGUUGAUAAUAAAUUAGAGAAUAAGUUCGUUCCCCGGACAAAAAAAUUUAAUAAAAAUAAAAAAAAUGACACAGCUACACCAAUCCACCAGCAGUAAACACAUUGCUGCACAGUUCUUGCACCUGGACUAACGUAAUUUAGCAUAAAAUUGGAUCACCAGUUAUUGGCUAGACGUGGUCAGUGGUGCUUCAUUUCCAAGCAGCCAAGUCCUGGUUCUUUAUGCUUAUCAAACAUAUUAUUAGCCAGAUUACACAGAUUUGGUCACAGCGGACAGGAAACACAGUCUACCCAACAACCGACAAUGCAGUUUUAUCCUACAUUAAAAUUGUAUUUGUCCAGAUGUGCAACCUAUUAACAUUGUACGGUAAUGUGCUACCAUUGGUGGAUGUAACUUUUUAUCCAGAGAGCUUAGUAAAGAUGUUGAAAGAAGCAUAAAGAGUGCAGGCUCUCGUUGAACUGUUAGCUUACUUACCGAAUAAGUACCAGGAGACUUCAGCGAUCGAUGCAUAUAACAACAACAACAACAACAACAACGAGAGAUACAAAACUGGGUAAGAUUUAUUAGUAGAAAGCAGAUAUUUGUUAGACACCAAUAUGGCUCAACUCGUGUUGUAUUGUUUAGACAUGAACGUCUCAAGGAGCUUGAACAGCCGGUCCUCCCUUGCAGCGGCUUCUCUAUCCCUGCGCUCCUCCCUUUCUCUGUACUCCUUCUCUCUCCUCUCCUCUCUGGCUUGCAGCUCCCUCUCCCAACGCUCCUGCCGGGAAAGAAGAUCCUGCUCCCUCCUCUUCUCUCGCUCGAGAGCCUGCCUCUCUCUUUCCUCUUCUCGCUCAGCCGCCCGCCUCUCCCUCUCUUCUUCUCUAUCGGCUGCCCGCCUCUCCCUCUCCUCCUCCCUCUCUGCAGCACGCCUCUCGCGCUCCUCCUGCCUUCUCUCAAGCUCCUGCAGGGCAGCUAGCCAGUACUGCUCCUUCCUCUUCUUGGCAGGGGGAGCGUCCUGUCCAGACGAUGGCACAGGGAAAUGGCUGUAAAGGACCCGACCUCUAAUGUUAGGCCUACUGUACUCUCCAUUUUAUUGUUGUUUUGUUGCUGUUUUCUUCGCGUUCCUCUUCACUCAGUAGAGAGUCCGAGCGCGCUGUC